UACGUAGGGGGCGAGCGUUGUCCGGAAUCAUUGGGCGUAAAGCGCGUGUAGGCGGCUCGGUAAGUCCGGUGUGAAACCUUGGGGCUCAACCCCAAGCCUGCACUGGAUACUGUCGAGCUCGAGUCCGGGAGGGGAGAGCGGAAUUCCUAGUGUAGCGGUGAAAUGCGCAGAUAUUAGGAAGAACACCGAUGGCGAAGGCAGUUCUCUGGGACGGUACUGACGCUGAGACGCGAAAGCGUGGGGAGCGAACAGG
rnacentral:rRNA from 1 species